GAAUAUUUCACCAUGGGCGAAAGCCUGAUCCAGCCAUCCCGCGUGUGUGAAGAACGUCUUCGGAAUGUUAAGCACCUUAAGUUGGGAGGAAGGGCAGUAGGCGAAUACUUUGCUGUUUGUACGGUACCGACAGAGUAAGCACCGGCUACCUCUGUGCCAGCAGCCGCGGUAAUACAGAGGGUGCAAGCGUUAAUCGGAAUUACUGGGCGUAAAGCGCGCGUAGGUGGUUCGUUAAGUUGGAUGUGAAAUCCCCGGGCUCAACCUGGGAACUGCAUCCAAAGCUGGAGAGCUAGAGUAGGGCAGAGGGUGGUGGAAUUUCAUGUGUAGCGGUGAAACGCGUAGAUAUAGGAAGGAACACCAGUGGCGAAGGCGACCACCUGGGCUGAUACUGACACUGAGGUGCGAAAGCGUGGGGAGCAAACAGG
rnacentral:rRNA from 1 species